rnacentral:rRNA from 1 species
GACGAACGCUGGCGGCGUGCCUAAUACAUGCAAGUUGAGCGAUGAAGAUUGGUGCUUGCACCCAUUUGAAGAGCAGCGAACGGGUGAGUAACGCGUGGGGAAUCUGCCUUUGAGCGGGGGACAACAUUUGGAAACGAAUGCUAAUACCGCAUAACAACUUUAAACAUAAGUUUUAAGUUUGAAAGAUGCAAUUGCAUCACUCAAAGAUGAUCCCGCGUUGUAUUAGCUAGUUGGUGAGGUAAAGGCUCACCAAGGCGAUGAUACAUAGCCGACCUGAGAGGGUGAUCGGCCACAUUGGGACUGAGACACGGCCCAAACUCCUACGGGAGGCAGCAGUAGGGAAUCUUCGGCAAUGGACGAAAGUCUGGCCGAGCAACGCCGCGUGAGUGAAGAAGGGUUUCGGAUCGUAAAACUCUGUUGGUAGAGAAGAACGUUGGUGAGAGUGGAAAGCUCAUCAAGUGACGGUAACUACCCAGAAAGGGACGGCUAACUACGUG